rnacentral:rRNA from 1 species
GACGAACCGUCCAAACGUUAUUCGGAAUCACUGGGCUUAAAGGGCGCGUAGGCGGCCGAGCGGGUCGCGGGUGAAAUCCUCCAGCUUAACUGGAGAACUGCCCUCGAUACCACUGCGGCUCGAGGAAGGAAGGGGCAAUUGGAACUGUCGGUGGAGCGGUGAAAUGCGUUGAUAUCGAGAGGAACACCUGCGGCGAAGGCGGGUUGCUGGGCUGACACUGACGCUGACAGCGCGAAAGCUAGGGGAGCGAACGGG